UACGGAGGGUGCAAGCGUUGUUCGGAAUUACUGGGCGUAAAGCGUGUGUAGGCGGCUUGGUAAGUCAGAUGUGAAAUCCCUUGGCUCAACUGAGGAAGUGCAUCUGAUACUGUCAAGCUUGAGUCCUGGAGAGGGGUGUGGAAUUCCCGGUGUAGAGGUGAAAUUCGUAGAUAUCGGGAGGAACACCAGUGGCGAAGGCGACACCCUGGAUGGAGACUGACGCUGAGACA
rnacentral:rRNA from 1 species